rnacentral:rRNA from 1 species
UACAGAGACUGCGAGCGUUAUUCGGAUUCACUGGGCGUAAAGGGUGCGCAGGCGGCCAAGUGUGUGAGGCGUGAAAGUCUGGAGCUUAACUCCAGAAUUGCACCUCAAACUACUUGGCUAGAGCAUUGGAGAGGGUAGCGGAAUUCACGGUGUAGCAGUGAAAUGCGUAGAUAUCGUGAGGAACACCAGAGGCGAAGGCGGCUACCUGGACAAUUGCUGACGCUCAGGCACGAAAGCGUGGGGAGCAAAAGGG